rnacentral:tRNA from 1 species
GCCCUGGUGGCUUAAUGGUUAAGCACUUGGCUGCUAACCAAAAUGUUGGCCAUUCAAAGGCA